UCCUGGGAUGACCUGUGGCGGAAGGUAAACCGAAGGUGACUGCGGUUAACGUCCUCGAUGGGAAUGGCCACCUUCAAGAAUUGAAAAAGAAGUUUAAGCACUGUUAUCAAUAUCGUCCAGCAUAACAGCUUUAUUCAACUGGAGCUAUCAGGCGGAGCAUAGAGGACUUUUAGGAUGGUGAAGCUACCCAGUGAGAGACUACAAUGAGAUAAUUGGUCUUUCACAUUUCUUGUGCUAUCACCAAAAAUAACAGAGCACCACCAUGGCGGAGGAAGAGCACCAACGUGGCGGAUAAAGAGCACCAACGUGGCGGAUAAAGAGCACCGACGUGGCGGAGGAAGAGCACCGACGUGGCGGAGGAAGAGCACCGACGUGGCGGAGGAAGAGCACCGACGUGGCGGAGGAAGAGCACCAACAUGAAGCUAACCGCAUCCUCUUCACGGUUUGCUUUUCUUCCUCCUCUUCGUCCUGCACAAUCCAUUCUUAUGUCCACCACUGAGACCCGAAAACCUCCACUGACUGGCUUCCCUACAGACUGAGAAUAUGGCAGAAAAGCUUAUAAAUCACAGCUGCCCAUUGUCCAAUCAACAUUCAACAGUGGUUCUUUUGAAAGUGACUGUGAAGAUCUGAAACUCUCAAGGAAACACAGAGAAAUGGAUUACCAGCCACUCCAAAAGGUCGCCGCAACCCCGA
rnacentral:antisense_RNA from 1 species